GCCAACACCUAUUCCUAUAAGUAAUACGACUGUAAUCAUAAAACUGAUAGGACUUAAAUAACUAAGUAAAUACUGGCGUAUACCUGACAUAACAGAUCCAAGUACAGAACAAAUUGCAGCACCGACGGCCUUAGCACCACAACAUGCCAAACCUAAACAAAUGUAUACUACAAAAACCGUUAUUUAAAAACGGCAAUGAAUUUAAAUGCUUACCCAUGAGACCGCAAAGACAGCCCAUCAUAAAUGUUUUGCAGUUUCGUGUGCUACAAUCCUAUACACUUAGAAUAAAAAAUUCUGGUGUAUGUUGGCGAUACUGAAAUAUUACCGCAGAGAUAAUUGAAUAUGGGCACUGCGGGCAAGGAUGUACCUCAACUGAAGCAAAAGCGGAAAAUGUCUUAAAGAGCACAGCUGGUGGUGGUACGCCUGUAAUGCCCUAUACCAUCCUUGCCCCCCCCUGGAGCGCCCACAAAGUUACACAGUAUAAUACAAAUACAAUCGACCCUUAGACAGGGACAUGAUACGCUAUUUUUAGUUUCAAUCUGUGGCAUUGUAUCAUAUUUCUGAACCACGCUUCCAAUAAAAAAUAUGAAAGAGA